GUGUGGACCCACCCGAGCUCCGAUGGCCCCGACGUUCCCCGCUGGCCCGAGCAGACUGAUGGGCUACAGAUGAUUGUUUCAAGAGCUUCCUCCUGAAAGCGACUCAUGACGAAGACUUUGACAAAUGCUCUGGAACACAGGUUUUGAUCAACUGAAGAUCACAGCACUGCACUGAUAAGAAUUUCUAAAACUGUCAUGGAAAACUGACUGCUUUCAUAUUCUGCUUUCCAGAGCUAAAGUUCCCCUUUUCUCCUCUCCUUUAAAGCUCUCUAUAACGUAGGGUAAUUUGGUAAAGUGUACCUUUACAACAAAGGUUGAAACAUGGAUCUUUUUCUUCCUACCCAACCCCUCCGGAUUCUGAAACUCUUCUCCAGUGUUCUCAUGUUUCACGACCAUGCGUGUAUUUGCAGAGACUUAGUAAGAAUCUUUUCUCCUUGUAACAGAGCUCCCACCCCCACCAGGCCCCUGCUCUUUGACCUGCAGUCGAUAAAAGGAGAUACACUUCGACACUGGAAAGGCCUAAUUGCUUCUACUAAAGGGACAGCACUUUGGUCGUCAUCACACUGCUGCUCCCAGGAGAUGGGGACCUUAAACAUCACACCUUGCAACCUGGGGACUUCAUCUACUGGAAAAGACAUCUCCGCAAAGACACUCUUCAACUCCACUGGGAAGACCCAUAGCAGCUACUGUCAACCAAUGCUUGUGCCACCAAACUUCAGACUCUUGGAUUCAUGUGUCACAUCUAAAGACAGCACCAAACCCUGGCUGGACCUGCACCCCAACUGGUGACCUGAACGUAAAGAUUUCUAGGAAUUGAAGCCAAUGACAGCUGAAGGAGACAGCUUUCCCAAGAUGGCCAGGCCAAGCCAGUAUACCUUUUUCUCCCCACCGCUUCUUACUUUGUUAUUUCUCCCCUACCCCCCUUACUCUUGAAAACGCAAUGCUCUUCUCCACAUUUCUCUGUCUAGUGCAAAAGGCAGAAACCUCUGAAUGUUGGAUCGGUUGCCAGAAAUUCCAAUCUGUUUAUGAUGUCAGAGGCCCCUUGGCCUUACCCGUAAUUAUUUUCUCUUCAGUCCCCAGGCCCACUGCUGACUUACCCGUAAGCCCAUGGAGGUUACCUGUCGGGUUAGGUUGUUACGGCCAGGUGUUCCCAUGCUUGUUUCAGCCUUUCCCCAGUUGUAACCGUGCCAGCUCAGGUAAACACCUCAGCCUCUGUCAGCCCCCUUCCCUCACUCCCCGCAUCUUUUCCUUACCUAAAUACAAUCUGUUUCCCUGCACCCAGGGGGAGAAAACCAGGUCUAGACUCCUCUGUGAGGUUUUUAGAAAAAAAAAUCCCUUUAGGAGGGAAUAAUCUCUCACAGAAUGUUACCUCAAACUUUCUGAGCUGUAACUUGAAAGGGUCAGGACAUCCGGCUAGUGAAUCUAUCAAUAACCAGACGUGAGCUGGCGUCCCCGAGGCUCCACCUGGUUCCAUUUGUGUUUGUUCUGGACAGCACUUCUCAGGGGCAUAUGAAUGUUGGCAGCUGGCCACUUGGAGGUCAAUGCUCACUGGAACAUUUCACUGUCCCUGUUAAUAUGCAUACCAAAUCAGAAGCCUCCCCUCCUGUCCACUCCAUUGAGCCUCCAUGGCUGCUACAUGGGAACUUCCAGGACACAUAUAUGACUCUGGUUUUCCUCCCUGGGCAGAGACUUUCUCCCAUACAUUGGAAGAAAUGCCAACCAAUGCAAGAUUGGGAAUCUUUCCCAAACAUUAGGAGAGCUAGCUGGCCCCACAACCAAAGCACUAACAGCCCAACAAUGAUCACUGGACUCUUUGGCUACAGUAAUUUUGGAUAAUGGCACAGCCCUUGAUUAUCUACUGGCUGAACAAGGAGGAGUCUGGACAAGAGUGAAUACCGCCUGCUACACGUGGAUAAAUUCCUCUGGGGAAGUAAAUACCUACCUGCAUAAAAUCAGAGAAUAAGCACUUUGGCUGCAAAGAAUUCUGCCUAAUGACCUAUGAGCCUUAGAUCUAUUUAUCGAUUUCAUCUUUUUGAAACUAAAAAUUUCUGGAACGGGAAAAGAAAGAAAACUCCAACUGGCCUAGACAAAUUCGAGCUCAACCACCAGGGGGACGACUGCACAGCUGAGCCAUAAAGUGCUGGACAGUUACCUCAACUUCAUUAUAACGUUAGGAUCUCUGCCCUGGGGCAGGAACAUAAGCUUCGUUAACAUAACCUACGGUGCAUAUAUAGGUAUGUUUUCUAAGUGCACAUGCACAAACCUAUGUUCGCCUUUUAUAUGCAGUGAUGAAACUCCCCCUCUGAAUAUUCAUCUCAAACCCCCAAGUUAAAAGAAUUGGUUCAACCCUUCUUGGAGAGUCAUGGCUUUGGAAGUUAUUCCCCUUGAUCUCCUUAGUUGCUGCAAAUAAAGUUUCCUUCGUGUGACAACUCCAUCUGGUGUAGUCCAUAUCUGCAACUUACCAAGAAGCAAAUGUACAUCAUUAAUUCGGUCACAGGAUGGGACACUAGUCCUUCCGAGGAAUUCAAAAUCUCCCCACUCUCUUUAGGACAAGAUCCAAAAGAGCUAACUCUGGAAAAGAGCAUGCCAGUGUAUGUGGAUGACAUCUUAACAGCCAGCCCCACUCACAUUCCUGACAAAAAUACUGUGUUUAUGUUAAAGUUCCCAGCCAGAAAGGGAUAGAAGGUAUCAAAAGAAAAGGCCCACAUUUCUAAGCUGUAAACGACCUGGGGUUUAUUAUUUCCAAGGGACAAGGAGGCCUUCCCCAAGAAAGAAAAGUGGCAAUAUGCUAGCUAGCCCCACCAAAAACCCUCCAACAACUGCAUGGGUUUUGGGGAAUGGCUGGGUUUUGCUGUAUCUGGAUUCCUAAUUUGGGGCUAACUGCAAAAUCCCUUGAUGAUAAACUCCAGGAAGCUGAGACAGAUCUGAGUCGGAUAAAUCGUGUGAUCAAGCCUUCGAUACAGUGAAAGCCAUACUUACGAAAGCCCCGGCCGUAGCAUUACCAGACUAUGACAAGCUGUUUGAUUUGAAUGUGCAUGAAAGACAAGGAAUAGCUACAGGGGUGUUAACCCAAAGCUGGGCCCUCAAAAAGAAUGAUAGUUUAUUUCUCUUAACAGAUGGACACAGUGGCAAGGGGUUGGCCUCCCUGCCUGAGAGCCAUAACAGCCACAUGCCUCCUGAUGAAAGGUGAAAAAGCUAACCAUGGCUCAGCCUAUGACAGUUUGGACCCCAUAUCAGAUCUCUGGUUUACUGGCAACCAAGGGGCAUCGGUGGCUGUCUCAACACAGAAUACUGCAAUAUCAAGCCAUGCUGACAGAUACCCCUCAGAUGCAGCCGAAGCCGGGUCAUACUUUGACACCAGCCCACCCUACUUCCUGACCUUGAUCAACCAGCCACCCAUAGUUGUCCAGAAGUAACUGAUCAAGUUUACUCUAGUUGCAUAGAUCUCCAAAGUGAACACCUUUCCAGUGCAGAAGUCUGGUUUAUAGAUGGCAAUACUUUUAUAGAGAACAGGCAAAGAAAGACAGGUUGUGCAAUGGUGUCCCUGAACACCUUCGUAGAGGCAAAGAGCCUGCUCCCAGGCACCUCGGCCCAAAAGGCAGGAUUGCACUAACCAGAGCCUUGGAGUUGGGUGAAGACUGAACACUAACUAUCUACACUGAUUCUACCUAUGCCUUCUCCACAAUCUGGGCCCAUGGAGCCAAAUGGAAAGGAAGGAUUAUUGCAUAGUGGAAAGAAAGAAAUCAAACACAGCAAAGAAAUCCACACCCCACUAGAAGCAGUGCACAAGCCAAAAAAAGGUGGCAGGAGUUCACUUUAGGGGCCACAGGAAAGGAAAUUCAGAGGGAAUAAAGGGAAAUAAAUCAGUUGAUGCAGACACUA